rnacentral:rRNA from 1 species
CCUGGCUCAGGACGAACGCUGGCGGCGUGCCUAAUACAUGCAAGUCGAGCGGAGUGAUGAGGGAGCUUGCUCCCGAUCCACUUAGCGGCGGACGGGUGAGUAACACGUAGGCAACCUGCCCUUCAGACUGGGAUAACUACCGGAAACGGUAGCUAAUACCGGAUAAUUCCUUUCUUCGCCUGAAGNAAGGAUGAAAGACGGAGCAAUCUGUUACUGAGGGAUGGGCCUGCGGCGCAUUAGCUAGUUGGUGGGGUAACGGCUCACCAAGGCGACGAUGCGUAGCCGACCUGAGAGGGUGAACGGCCACACUGGGACUGAGACACGGCCCAGACUCCUACGGGAGGCAGCAGUAGGGAAUCUUCCGCAAUGGGCGAAAGCCUGACGGAGCAACGCCGCGUGAGUGAUGAAGGUUUUCGGAUCGUAAAGCUCUGUUGCCAGGGAAGAACGUUCUCUAGAGUAACUGCUAGAGAAGUGACGGUACCUGAGAAGAAA